GACGAACGCUGGCGGCGUGCUUAACACAUGCAAGUCGAACGGAAAGGCCCUGCUUUUGUGGGGUGCUCGAGUGGCGAACGGGUGAGUAACACGUGAGUAACCUGCCCUUGACUUUAGGAUAACUUCAGGAAACUGGGGCUAAUACCGGAUAGGAGCUCCUGCUGCAUGGUGGGGGUUGGAAAGUUUCGGCGGUUGGGGAUGGACUCGCGGCUUAUCAACUUGUUGGUGGGGUAGUGGCUUACCAAGGCUUUGACGGGUAGCCGGCCUGAGAGGGUGACCGGCCACAUUGGGACUGAGAUACGGCCCAGACUCCUACGGGAGGCAGCAGUGGGGAAUAUUGCACAAUGGGCGGAAGCCUGAUGCAGCAACGCCGCGUGCGGGAUGACGGCCUUCGGGCUGUAAACCGCUUUCGCCUGUGACGAAGCGUGAGUGACGGUAAUGGGUAAAGAAGCACCGGCUAACUACGUG
rnacentral:rRNA from 1 species